GCCCAGAUGGCGGAAUCGGUAGACGCGUUGGUCUCAAACACCAAUAGGUUAACCCCUGUGCCGGUUCGACCCCGGCUCUGGGUA
rnacentral:tRNA from 1 species